AAGCGUUAUCCGGAUUUACUGGGUGUAAAGGGAGCGUAGGCGGCAAGGCAAGUCUGAAUGGUGAAAACCCGGGGCUCAACCCCGGGACUGCAUUGGAAACUGCUUAGCUAGAGUGUCGGAGAGGUAGUGGAAUUCCUAGUGUAGCGGUGAAAUGCGUAGAUAUUAGGAGGAACACCAGUGGCGAAGGCGACUUACUGGACGAUAACUGACGCUGAGGCUCGAAAGUGUGGGGAGC
rnacentral:rRNA from 1 species